AUUGGAUGGCAUCAUUUGAUAGUUAAAACUGAGGUGGUAUAGGAUGGGCGAUGCGUCUGAUUAGUUAGUUGGCGGGGUAAUGGCCCACCAAGACGAUGAUCAGUAGGGGUUCUGAGAGGAAGAUCCCCCCACACUGGCACUGAGAUACGGGCCAGACUCCUACGGGAGGCAGCAGUAGGGAAUAUUGGUCAAUGGAUGCAAGUCUGAACCAGCCAUGCCGCGUGCAGGAAGAAGGCCUUCUGGGUUGUAAACUGCUUUUGCCAGGGGAUAAAAUUUCCAUGCGUGGAAAACUGAAGGUACCUGGUGAAUAAGCCACGGCUAACUACGUG
rnacentral:rRNA from 1 species